UACGUAGGGUGCGAGCGUUAAUCGGAAUUACUGGGCGUAAAGCGUGCGCAGGCGGUCUGUUAAGACCGAUGUGAAAUCCCCGGGCUUAACCUGGGAACUGCAUUGGUGACUGGCAGGCUUUGAGUGUGGCAGAGGGAGGUAGAAUUCCACGUGUAGCAGUGAAAUGCGUAGAGAUGUGGAGGAAUACCGAUGGCGAAGGCAGCCUCCUAGGCCAACACUGACGCUCAUGCACGAAAGCGUGGGGAGCAAACAGG
rnacentral:rRNA from 1 species